rnacentral:rRNA from 1 species
UACACACCGCCCGUCAAGUCAUGGGAGCCGGUAGUGCCCGAAGCCGCCACAUCACUGUGGUGUCUACGGCAAGAUCGGUGACUGGGACU